CGAAAUGACGUCAUAUCAGUUUGUUCUACGAUUUCGUUUGAAGUAUAUCGGGACCUUUAUACUCUUGGUUAUGCAUGAUAUUAUGCAAACAUUAAGUUAAAGGGGGGGGGGAAAAGGCUGAAACUAGUUUCCAGGAACCUGCCACGUGAAUCUCAGACAGUCCUCCUCCUCAUUUUAAAAACGCCCCGCACGCGUGUCUGCGUUCACUCGCGCGCUCUCAUCAUCAGCGGUCAUCAAUACUAUCAGCGAUGGUUGUGCUCUCUUCCAUGUGCAUUUACUGAUACUCUCAUCACUCAUGAAUAUUUCUGAGAGCAGUGUGCUCGGCACCGUGCUGCCUCUUACUAGUUUCGAGAACGUGCUCGUGUUUCUCUUUAAUAUAAUUCUCGCCACCGCCAUCAUUUUUAUUAACGUCUCCGUGUUUAUCGCCAUCGUGAUGAACAGAUCACUGCGGAACGAGAACCGCUUCAUGUACAUGCUCAGCACGUGUCUCAGUGACAUCUGCACGGGCGUCUCGUAUUAUUAUGCUGGAGUUAUGGAUGUACGCGAUGAUUUUGAUUCGCCGACUCGCACUCUCUACAUCGUUCCCACUUUUCUGGGACUGUCCUAUAUGGCGAUUCUGGCCGCGCAAGCGGACCGCUACCACGCGGUCUCAGCGCCUUUCAAAUACUCGCAGCGCAUGACUCGAAACAGAACCCUGCUGGUGAUUCUGGCCUACUGGGUUUAUGCUUUUAUUUUAGUGGCUGUUUAUAAUUUGGUGACUACGGGGGUCGCUAAGGCUGUGACGGGCUUGGGUACUUUUGUGGCAAACAUUUUUAGUGUCAUUAUAAUGAUUGGCUUGAAUUUAAGGCUGUUUGUCAUCGCCAAAUUUCAGCUAGAACGCGAACCCCCGAGCGAGGAACGCGACAACAAGCGCGCGUCCAUUUAUCUCAUCAUAAUAGUAGCUGUGUGUUUUCUGAUUGCAUGGCUGCCGUGGUUUCUUCUUACGACUGUGUGUACAUUUAGAGGAGGUUCGUGUUAUCCGUUUAGAAAUGACGGCACAGACCCCCUGCGCAUUCUGGCGCGCGUCAAUGCGCUUAUCACUCCUUUACUGUACAUCAGAGGCUGUACUCCACUCAGGAGCACCAUAAUGAUUAAAGUCUGGAGAAUACCAUGCUGCAAGAGUAAAAGAGUGAAGCCACAGAAUAUGGAGAAGACUUUAGACUAGAUGUAGCAGGGAUCUUCAGGAUGUGACAAUCUUCGAGUGGCAGGACUUUUAAAGAGACUUUAAGGAUACACUGCCUGGCCAAAAGAAAAAAAAGUUUCCAUUUGGAUUUAAAUAAGCAAAUGCUUAAGAUUUCAUGACUGGAUCAUUAUUGCAGUGAAUAAUGUUUCUAGCAUGUGGUUCACAACAAUUAUUUUAACCCUAAAUGAUGCAAUAUGCAGCGUUUUAUUUCUUAAACAACCAUGUUGGAAGAUGUAUUUCAUGGCCAUAUUUUAGGAUGAUGAUGCCAGGAUUCAAUCGCUCAAACUGUAAAAUAUGGUUCAGGGAACAUGAGGAAUCAUUUUCACACAUGAAUUGGCCACCACAGAGUCCUGAGCUCCACUGAAAAUCUUUGGAUGUGCUGUAGUCGAUUUUACAGAGUGGUUUAACUCUCCCAUUGUCAAUACAAGAUCUUUGCCGAAAAAUUAAUGCAACUUUUAAAGGAAAUACAUUUUGUGAUGUUGCAUAAGAUUUUUGAAACCGUGGCAUGAUAAAUGCACAAAAGGCACUGCAUUUACAAAAUAUUACAGCAUGCAACAACCUUUUUUUUUUUUGGCCAGUGUAUAUUUAAAUAUUCAGUAGACAUCUGUGAAUCUAAAACACACAAGUUAAAGCUUACUCUGUGAACAGUUUCAUGUCCCUGUCCUUUUUCCCACUUGAUAUAUCUGUUGUAUCUUCAAAUAGCAUUUAAUAGAGCAAAUGUAUUAUUGCUUAUGCGUCUUAAUUUGACCUUCUUAGGAAGUAACUUAUUGAAAGCAGAUGAAUUAUAUAAAGUGCCAAG
ensembl:lncRNA